AACCCCCUGCCACUAGGCCAUAACUUUAUUGUUCAGAUGUCACUUGGGUUUGGCAGCAAGGAUGGGAACCUACCAUUGAAUUCAAAACAGACAUGGUGAUGAAUGAUAUAUUUGGAAUGUUUCUGAUCUUGUAAUUUUCCUCCCCAUCAGGUUUCAACCUUUCAGCAUGUUCAUCAAGCAAAGGCAGCAGAUCCAACUGCUUCAAGGUAGUGAUGAACUGCAAACCUUGAGGGAGCAUCCUUAGACGCAAGCAGUUGUGGAAGUGGAGGUACUGUAAGCUUGGCAAUGCUCCCUCUUCAAGUUCUGUCCAUGCCUCAAGAACAUGAGAAGCAAUGCUGAGAACCUCAAGCUUUGGAAAUCCACCUGCUUUGCAGAAUUCUUUCCCCAACUGCUGUGCAUCAAAAGCAUGCCACAAGGUUAAAUUUUCCAAAUUGGGUAGAAGCUGAAGAACUGAUGUUGGGUUCUCGGAUAAAUGAGAGAAACCUAGUCUUAGCUUUGUAAGAUUUUCCAGUGAGCCAAGCCAGCUAGGUAUCUUAUCUAGGAAACCUUCAAGGCGAAGUUUCCUAAGAAGAGGUGGAGGCAAGAAUGACUCCGAGAGCACAAGGUGGUUCUUGUUGUAAGCAUGUUUUGCUUCUAAAGACAGGCAGAGAAGACCUUGCAUCUUCAUUAUGGAGGUGUGUAGCUCACCAGCAUUCUCUUCAGCAACGUCCAUCACUCCCAGUUUUCUGAGCUGAGUGAGCUUGUCUAAUUCCCCUGCUAUGCCACCCCCAGCAUGCACACCGGUUAGUGUCAAGAGGUUUCUUAAUCUACCUAUUCCCUCUGGUAGCUUCAUCCCACUAACAUUUAUGUUCUUGAACAUUUUGAGAUGCCUUAAUUUUACGAGACUUAAGACGUUCGGUGAUAGUGUUGAUAAAUUCCCACACCAUCUGAUAUCUAAAGUCUGCAGUG
rnacentral:misc_RNA from 1 species